AUGGCUAUAUCACGCUAAAACACCAGUUCUCGUUCGAUCAUGGAACAUAAGCAACGUCAAGCUUGGUCAGUACCAAGAUGGGUGACCGCUUGGGGAUACCAUCUGCUGG